GAAGGCACCGCCCUCGCUGUGGAGCGCUUUGCUUACAGUCUGCUCCCGCUUCAGAAGCGCCAUCGUUUCCGCCCCAGUGUCCCCGAACCCACCACAGGACGAGGCUCACAGUGGCGCACAGUUCGUGCUGCCUUAACCAACGUGUCCAAUCAGGCGUGGACGCUCCUGGGAAGAAUGACCGAGCCGGCCUCCACGGGGGCUUUGGGGCAGAUGCGCGUCCGGUGCCCGGCCCCUUCCACGGCUGCCCCUUGUGGGUGAGGGAAGGUCCCUGCUGGGCUUCACCCUCAGCCCUCGGUUUGGGCCUGGACGGUCAGCUUCUCUCCUGGGCCCUGGACCUGGAGGACCUGACCCAGCACCCUCUACACGGGAACGUUAUGUUAACGGCCCCCAGCGAACACGGUGACUUAACAAAACAACGUGCAGGAAUACAUCCCGAGUGACCCCUCCGACGCGGUGGCUGCCUCGUCCUUACCCGCGGUGGUAACGGGCCGUGCGGGUGCUGGCAGGGUCCUGCCGAGGCUGAUGGACAUCCCGGC
ensembl:lncRNA